AUUUCAUGGAGAGUUUGAUCCUGGCUCAGGACGAACGCUGGCGGCGUGCCUAAUACAUGCAAGUCGAGCGGAUCUUGUCCUUCGGGACAAGGUUAGCGGCGGACGGGUGAGUAACACGUGGGUAACCUGCCCAUAAGACUGGGAUAACAUUCGGAAACGAAUGCUAAUACCGGAUACGCGAAUCGGUCGCAUGGCCGAAUCGGGAAAGG
rnacentral:rRNA from 1 species